rnacentral:tRNA from 1 species
GCCCGGGUUGCUCAGUCAGUUGAGCGUCCGACUUCAGCUCAGGUCAUGAUCUCACAGUUCGUGGGUUCAAGCCCCACAUUGGGCU